AGGUUGCGCUGGGGCCGAAGGAAGAGGAGGAGGAGGAGGAGGAAGAGGAGGAGAUCGGAGGAGGAAUGAGCCAAGAACAGUCGUGAGAAAGAGAUCAAGAACGCAAGAACCGAGAAAGAGAGAGUUGGAUCCAAAGAGACAAAGAACUGAAACUCAAAACAUACUCACACACAGCCACCCACCACCACCACCAUUACUAACGCACCCACACCACCUUAUAAACCAAACGUGAGCCACAAGGAAGCAAUUUAAACCAUGGAAUCAGAGCAAACCACCAUGGAAACUUGCCACCACGAAUCUAAAGUGACCGAAGUGAUGUGUCGAAGUGUUACAAGUGGAAGCUGCAUGGGGGACGUUGUGAAGUAAGGGUGUUUAUAAGUGUUUUGUAAGUGGUGAAGUGGUGUGGUGUGUUUCAUGGGACUUUGAUUCGUGUUUUUUGUGUUUCUGUGUGUGUGGAAGGUUGGUGUUUUUAAAGUGGGUGUUAAGUGUGGUGGGAAUGACUUAAGUGGCCGUGGAAGGAUUAACAAAGAGAAAGUGUAAUAAGCGGAAGGAAAGUGAAGGAAGGGUCAAAGAAGAAUAAGUGAAAGGAAAUUAAAAACAAAACAAAACAAAAGAAAGUGGAAAAGUGACGAAGAGAGGAAGAUAAAUAUAAACAAAAAAAUACUAAAGGAAAAAAAAUGAUAGAGUGAAGUGGAAUAGGAAAAAAAAACCGAAGAAACAGGAGAAAGUUAAGCAAAAAACAUGAAACAGUAAAGUAAGAAAAAAAAAAUAAGAAGACGGGAAGAAAAUGGAGUACUGAAACAUAUCUAUCAUGAAAACAAACAUAGAAAACAUGACAUCCUAAACCAGCUAAUAAAGAAAACGGGAAAAAAACACACUUGACGAAACAGAAAACGAAGAAAACGGGAUCAUGAGAAACAGAGAACGGGAAACGGAAGUGCCGAACCGUAACACAUAUCAAAGAGGAACGAAACGGCGAUAAAAAAGGAAAACAGGAAACGAAACUGAAACCGGAUGAGCGUGUGAAGCUGAAACCAAGUGCCCAACGAAACCAUAUCAAUUAGUGCGGUAGCGAAACUAAGGUGAAACACAGGUAGACAAAUGAGCUAAUAGAAGAAAUAGAAAUAGAGGAAAUAGAAGCUAAUUAGAAGAUGAUUUAGAAGUAGUGAAAUAUAAUAUAGUACAAAAAUAAUACACGAAACGCUAAAAUUAACAAAACGGAUAUUUAGGAGACGAGAGAAAAGGGGAAAGAAGACGAUUUUGAGAAGAGAGAAUUAACGAAGAUAAAUAAUAAGAAAAAUAAACUAGAAAAUAACGAAUAACGAAGGAAAGAGAGAGAGAGAGAGGGAGACAAGUGAAGGAGUGUGCGUGGAAGGAAGAAGGAAAUGACCAGUGAAGGAAGGAAGGAAAGGAAGGAAAACUUGAAGGAAAAAUAAGGAAAAGAAACGAGAGAAAAUUAACGCGAAAAAAGUGGAGAAGUGAAGAGAAGUGAAAAAAAACGAAGAGAAAAGAGAGAAAAGGGGGGAGAAAACAAACAGACAAACAAACGAACUCACAUAUCACACACGCACACGCACCCAUGUAUGUAUGUAUGUACGUGUGUGUGUAUUCCCCUUUUGGUCUAGUUUUGCCAAAAGACUGAAAGAAUAAAACACAGAGAGAGAGAGAGAGAGAGAGAGAGAGAGAGAGAGAGAGAGAGAGAGAGAGAGAGCGUGACCAACCCCCAUUUCCAACUCAAGUUUCUGUACCUGCGUCCGUGUCCUCCCUAAACACACUCACGCACGCACACACGCAAACCUCAACAACCCCGCGACACGCACACACAAACACACGCACACUCACAAGCACAUUCCCCUAAGAUAACAAACGAGAACAUUUUAUUUUAUUUUCUUAACAAAUUACCCGGAGAAAACAAAAUAUAGUUAAACAUAUGUAAAGAAGAAAAUUUAGACCCCCGAAACAAAGGAAUAUAUUAGUUAGUGUCACAAAAAGGGGAAAUAUUAGCUGAAAGAAAUAUUUACACCCCACAAAAUGAUAUAAUAUUCGCCCCUUCAGAAAGAUAUUACCACAUUCCCGCCUUGGACGAAACAGCUAUGCCUUGAAAAUAUCAGUACACUCCCCUAGAAUUUAAUAACUAUCUACAGGACAGUAAAACAAAAUAUAUUUCCCGACGGAUAACAUUACCGCCUCCCCUCCCGGUAAAACGACAGUGCAAGACGAUAUUAGCCCCCAAGUGAAAAUAGAAAAUGGUGUUUCCACUUAUAGAAAAUUAUAUUCACCUCUCCCAGUAAAAAAUAGUAAUUAGAUACCCAUGCAGAAAAUAAUAUUACUGCCUCCCCCAGAAAGAAAAUAAUAUAUACCCCAACAAAUUAAAUUACAUAUUCCCCGUAACUUCCCUCAAAUAUUUACCCCCUAAUUAAAAAAAGUCCUCAUAUAUGAUAAAUUUUCCUCUCCUUAAUAAAACUAAGAAUCAGUAUUAAAACUCUCCUCCCCCAAAAAAUAACAUUAACCACCCCAAAAUAAUAUAACCCCCCCCAAAAAAUUAAAAACGAAUGUCAUAUCAAAUUUUCCAAGUUCUAGAUGUUUUGGUUCCAGUUCCCUAAAGUUACAAGUUAAACCCAGUGUGCUAAAUAGUUACCCACCACACUCCCAGGUAAGGUUAAUUAACGUUUCUAGGUUUACAUAGACGCCCUGUGGACCCGAGUUACUCCAAUAAUCAAAGUUAAUUCCAUAGAAGAUUUAUAUUGUUAUUUCUUUCUAAGUGUGCGUAGAAAGUAAUUUAAUUCUCCUCGUUCAUUUCUGAGUGUCAGUAGAAGUAACAGAAUUCUCCCAGAGUUCAAGAGUCAAUGGUUUCCUAGGUGUUUCUUUCUCAGUGUCUGUAGAAAGUAUCUUAGUUAUCACAAAAAUCAAGAGUAAAUGAUUUCCUAGUUGUGUCCUCCGUGUCAUAACAAAAUAUAACUAAUCAAAAACAAAAUGAAGUGAUUUCCUAAGUAUGCUUAUCUAAAUGUUAAUACAAGUUAAUUUUUCCACAAAGCAAUAUCAGAUGUUUUCCAAGAUUAUAGCGCCCACUUAACUCGUCCCAAAGAAAGCGAGACAAAUGAUUUCCUAGUUGAUAACAGCCACCAGAGUCUCUUUUGUUGUACGAGACCCAGAUAGUUGUUUCCAUUCGUUCACAAAGAAACCCAGAUUGAUGUCCAGUAUUUUGUAUUUAUAUAUAAUAUGUAUUCAAGUUUAACUCAUUUAUAACUCACCAGCACAUUAAUUUAUAAGUCGCCGUAACCAAAGAUUAGUCUAACCCACAUAUCAAAGUCCCUGAGCCGAGAACAUCCCUAGAAGCUACAGAUAAGCUCCUCAGACCCACGAUAUUAGGACUCUCCUCUCUCACACACACCUACCGGUCUUUCGAACACACUAACACGCCCACGCAACUCCUAGGAUUACACGCACGCAAAAAAUACUUAAGACAAAAAAAAUUACGCUAACCCAACCACCACCACAACCUCUGAAGACACGAUUCUGAACACGGAAAUACCCAAUACACUUCCCUGGAAAAUAUGACAUAACGAAACAAAGAAGAAAUUUACUUGAUUGUGACACGUUCUGGAAAAUACUCAAAUUGGAAACGUGCCCAAACCAAGAGAGAAAAAAGAGAAGAGAAGGAAAGAAGAAUAGUGAAGAAAUAAGAGAAAAUACAUAUUGGAGUAAAACAAAGAGAAGAAAAAAGUGAAAAAAAUGAAAAGUAUGAAGAAAGUAGAAAUUGAAAAGUGAAAAUAUAAAAAAGGAAAAGGGAAGGAAAAAAAAGUGAAAAUUUAUACAACCACUUCUCAAACUGCACCAAACACACCACGAUUCGAACCACUCCGCAAUUAGAACCACUUCAAACCAUACCAAAACUUAACCACAAAACCCACAACUCCACAAUCACUCCACAAGUUAAACCAGCCCACCAAUCAAACCCUUCCACAAACUGAACCACUCCACAACCAAACCAGACCAACUUACACAUCCCAAAAGACAUCCCAUCACCCCAAGGAUCACCCCACCAAAGAACCACAUACCCCACAUAUCCCAACCCCAACGGCCCAUCCCCCCAAUACAGAACUCAGCACCGAUUAUGAAGGGGGUCUAACGCCUCUCAGUGCUGGCCUCGGGAAGUGCUGAGUGCUGAGUGCUGAGACGAUGGAGGGUCAGAUGGUGAAGGAGGUGGCGGUGGCGAGGCGAAGAAGAGGAGGCGUCACUAUCUUUCACCACCUUUCUUCGUCUGUGGUGGUGAUGGUGAUGGUGGUGGUGGUGAUGGUGGUGAUGUCCCUACCGCAUAUGGCGUCUGCGCUGUGGCUUGGCGGGUGUGACGGCGCCCUGGGUAUGGAGUCUGGCAUGAUCCCGGACAACGCCAUCACCGCCUCCUCCUCUCAUGACCACAUCGUCGGCCCACAUAACGCGAGGUGACGUACUCUGAGCCUGUUUUGUAUUG